GUCUUUUUCUUCAAUUCUUUUCCUCUACUACGCUUCUGGAUCAUUCUUCCAUUUUCUUCAUAUGUCUCUCCAUAAUUUCUCAUUCCUCAUCUUUACUGUUAACCGUAAGAGGGCAACUGGGUAAGGUAAAAUCAAAGGAAUAUAUGAAUCUCUUACUCCUCUUCGAAAUUUCAAUAAGAAGAAGAUUCACUAAAGUUUUGGAUUUAGAAUUUUUUUAAAAUUCUCUUAAUUUUUCAUCGAUUUAGAGUUUAGCUCUUCCGUGGGUAAGGAUUUCUUUGAGGUUUGCCCUGAGAAACUACCAAAUUACGAGGAGAAGAUCAAGAGAUUUUUUUGAAGAACACUUCCAUACCAAUUAGGAGAUCUGUUAUUUUGUUGCAGGAAGUGGUUUGAUGUUGUUUAUUGAUUGGAUUUUUCUAUUCUGCCUUCCAACUAUCGUUGCUAAAUAUAUACUCCUGGGUGUAAUGUGAAUGAGAGCUGGAUUUGCAUCUGGGUAAAGAAAGGUGGAAUGAUUGUGCCUUCCUACUGGAAUAUAUUACCGCUUCACGCUUGAUUCA